GACGAACCGUGCGAACGUUGUUCGGAAUCACUGGGCUUAAAGGGCGCGUAGGCGGCUUGCCAAGUCGGGGGUGAAAUACUUCAGCUUAACUGGAGAAGUGCCUUCGAUACUGGCAGGCUUGAGGGAGGUAGGGGUCUGCGGAACUUCUGGUGGAGCGGUGAAAUGCGUUGAUAUCAGAAGGAACGCCGGUGGCGAAAGCGGCGGACUGGACCUCUUCUGACGCUGAGGCGCGAAAGCUAGGGGAGCAAACAGG
rnacentral:rRNA from 1 species